rfam:Jatropha curcas cultivar GZQX0401 scaffold328_98, whole genome shotgun sequence.
AAAAAAAUGAUGAGAUUCUGAUGGCCGAAUUUUGAAUGUGGAAUCACCAUAUCUUAAUAGCCUUCAAAGUUCUCUGAUUCUU